rnacentral:rRNA from 1 species
GAUUAAGUUAUUAAGGGCGCACGGUGGAUGCCUUGGCACUAGAAGCCGAUGAAGGACGUUACUAACGACGAUAUGCUUUGGGGAGCUGUAAGUAAGCUUUGAUCCAGAGAUUUCCGAAUGGGGAAACCCAGCAUGAGUUAUGUCAUGUUAUCGAUAUGUGAAUACAUAGCAUAUCAGAAGGCACACCCGGAGAACUGAAACAUCUUAGUACCCGGAGGAAGAGAAAGAAAAUUCGAUUCCCUUAGUAGCGGCGAGCGAAACGGGAAGAGCCCAAACCAACAAGCUUGCUUGUUGGGGUUGUAGGACACUCUAUACGGAG